rnacentral:rRNA from 1 species
UACGUAGGGGGCGAGCGUUGUCCGGAAUCAUUGGGCGUAAAGCGCGUGUAGGCGGCCCGGUAAGUCCGCUGUGAAAGUCCAGGGCUCAACCCUGGGACGCCGGUGGAUACUGUCGGGCUCGAGUCCGGAAGAGGCGAGUGGAAUUCCUGGUGUAGCGGUGAAAUGCGCAGAUAUCAGGAGGAACACCAAUGGCGAAGGCAGCUCGCUGGGACGUGACUGACGCUGAGACGCGAAAGCGUGGGGAGCAAACAGG